AUUGAACGCUGGCGGAAUGCUUUACACAUGCAAGUCGAACGGCAGCACGGACUUCGGUCUGGUGGCGAGUGGCGAACGGGUGAGUAAUGUAUCGGAACGUGCCCAGUCGUGGGGGAUAACGUAGUGAAAAUUACGCUAAUACCGCAUACGAUCUAUGGAUGAAAGCGGGGGAUCGCAAGACCUCGCGCGAUUGGAGCGGCCGAUAUCAGAUUAGGUAGUUGGUGGGGUAAAGGCCCACCAAGCCAACGAUCUGUAGCUGGUCUGAGAGGACGACCAGCCACACUGGAACUGGGACAAGGUGCAGACUCCUACGGGAGGCAGCAGUGGGGAAUUUUGGACAAUGGGCGAAAGCCUGAUCCAGCCAUUCCGCGUGCAGGAUGAAGGCCCUCGGGUUGUAAACUGCUUUUGUACAGAACGAAAAGGUUUCUACUAAUACUAGGAGCUCAUGACGGUACUGUAAGAAUAAGCACCGGCUAACUACGUGCCAGCAGCCGCCGUAA
rnacentral:rRNA from 1 species